UUAACCCCAAGGUGGGCAAUAUCAGGUGGCACCACCGUCAUCUUCCUUUGUGGGUUACAUUUGAGUGGCUUGCCUAAGGGCUAGAUAAUAGUGAAUCUCAGGCAGACUAGAGGAAGACAGCCCAGUUUGCUCCACAGAGGAGAAUUUUGUUGAUAAAAAGAUAGGGAAGUCCUUGAGAUUCUCUUGUUGUACUUAAUUGUAAAUGCAUUGGCUUGUUGAACAAUUCUAAUUGUGAAAUAGAAGAGAGCUAUUUAACCCAGAAGAUACCGACUUCAUCUCUGUCCUUCCACAGAACAAUGCCAAGCAUUUCUAUUCGGCAGGAGAAAAGCUGGAAGCCCUCUCUGUGUUCAUUGUUGAAAGCAAUUGAUUCAGCCUUGAGAAGGCAAGCUGACUGCUGAAGCUGGUCUGAGCAAUGACUCACCUUGGAAUCAGCUCUCUCAGAUGGAAAAACCAAUAUCCCUCGAGUGAGCCACGUAUGGGUGGCAACAAGAGCAGAAAGAAUGGCUCACACUAAUGGGGCUGGCUAACAAAAGUGAUGUGGGAUUUCUUUCCUUUCACAUUCUCGGCCUAAAAGCCCAGUCAACAAUAAAAUCCAGUAUUUUGCAGGCCGACAGUAAUCAUCUUGUCUAAUGUGAGUAUGCAGAUGGCCAGGUGAAUUUAAGCCCAGGAGGGUGUUGGGGUCCGCUUUACCCUGGGGACCCAGGAUCAGUGCUUUGGGUCAGCCAUGAAGAAGAAAUCACCAGUAGCAGUUUCAGGACAACAAGACUUAAACUGAAGUUCUUGAUCCAUUUGGAAUUUGGUUUUGUGCACAGUGAGAGUUAAUGACCUCCUUUCAUUUUUCUGCCUGUUGAAAUCUGGAGUUCCUGGUACCAUUUGUUUGAGACAUUCUUCUCCAAGUACAUUUCUGAUGUCAUUAAAAAAAAAAACAGGGA